rnacentral:rRNA from 1 species
AUGAACGCUAGCUACAGGCUUAACACAUGCAAGUCGAGGGGAAACGACAUCGAAAGCUUGCUUUUGAUGGGCGUCGACCGGCGCACGGGUGAGUAACGCGUAUCCAACCUGCCCAUCACUUGGGAAUAACCUUGCGAAAGUAAGACUAAUACCCAAUGAUAUCCCACGAAGGCAUCGGAAUGGGAUUAAAGAUUUAUCGGUGAUGGAUGGGGAUGCGUCUGAUUAGCUUGUUGGCGGGGUAACGGCCCACCAAGGCAACGAUCAGUAGGGGUUCUGAGAGGAAGGUCCCCCACAUUGGAACUGAGACACGGUCCAAACUCCUACGGGAGGCAGCAGUGAGGAAGAUUGGUCAAUGGGCGAGAGCCUGAACCAGCCAAGUAGCGUGCAGGAAGACGGCCCUAUGGGUUGUAAACUGCUUUUAUAAGGGAAUAAAGUGGGUCACGUGUGACUUUUUGCAUGUACCUUAUGAAUAAGGACCGGCUAAUUCCGUG